rnacentral:lncRNA from 1 species
UAUAUAUAUAAUUAGGCUGGAAUACUAUCAAUAGCACCAAGCUAUUGGUGCUAUUAGGUUUCAGCCCUUGGAUGAAAAAAUAUACGAUUAGGAUGAUAUUGGCCCUCUAGGGUACGUUGAUUGAGUUAUUGAUUUAAUAGUAUAAUCUAAUGGAUAAAGAUAGUCAAAGGAUUAAAUCUAACGGCGGAAAACUUGAUAGCACCAAACGCUUGGUGCUAUCGAUAGUCACUACAACAGAAUUAGGUUAUAGGGACACAUGUUUGGGACACUUUUGAGUAAGUGUCUCAUUUAUGCUAAAACAUAAAAAAACAUCUACUUAUGCCUAAAUAUAAAGCCCAAUCCAACCAAAAAUAAAAGAUUACUCUACUCAACCAACCACACCCAAUCCAUUUGACCCGAUUACAAACAGAAAAGAAAAAAAAAAGAAAAAUCAAUUACCAUCUUUUUUUCUCUAUUCACUCAAUCCACUGAAAUUCUAGACGAAGAACCUUUCCUGUCGUCCUCCUCCGCCACCGCAGCCAACGAGAUAGAGUUUCGGCGGUUGCUAAAUGCUUAAAUAAGUGUUGAUAAAUUAGCAGCACUCUUUUAGGUUAUAGCGACACUCUUUAACUGUCACUAUAUACCUAGCGACCCCACAUAUAGCAACACUUUUUAAAAGUGUCGGUAAUUUUAGCUAGCAGCACUUUUUUG